rnacentral:rRNA from 1 species
AUUGAACGCUGGCGGCAGGCCUAACACAUGCAAGUCGAGCGGAUGAAGGGAGCUUGCUCCUGGAUUCAGCGGCGGACGGGUGAGUAAUGCCUAGGAAUCUGCCUGGUAGUGGGGGAUAACGUCCGGAAACGGGCGCUAAUACCGCAUACGUCCUGAGGGAGAAAGUGGGGGAUCUUCGGACCUCACGCUAUCAGAUGAGCCUAGGUCGGAUUAGCUAGUUGGUGGGGUAAAGGCCUACCAAGGCGACGAUCCGUAACUGGUCUGUGAGGAUGAUCAGUCACACUGGAACUGAGACACGGUCCAGACUCCUACGGGAGGCAGCAGUGGGGAAUAUUGGACAAUGGGCGAAAGCCUGAUCCAGCCAUGCCGCGUGUGUGAAGAAGGUCUUCGGAUUGUAAAGCACUUUAAGUUGGGAGGAAGGGCAGUAAGUUAAUCCCUUGCUGUUUUGACGUUACCAACAGAAUAAGCACCGGCUAACUUCGUG